AACGUGUUCUAGCAACGUAUCGUGUCGCGAUUGUUUUUGAAGACCAUUUGUUUAACCAUUCAACUGAUUGACAUUAUUGAAUAGGAGAAUCGAUUAAAGAGCGACAAAUGGAACGUCUUCACAGUAUCAUGGUAACGAAAACGUCUUAAAUUAAUUAAAAAUAUGGAAAAAAAUAUUGGACACUCACCGUUCUGAAAACGUGCUUGCCGCAGAAACUCAGCCUAAAAGAAACUGUGGGGGCAGCACUACAGCUUCCGUUAUCGAAAAAACGGAAGUAGUGCUGCCACCUGGCAGCCAUCAUGGAAGUUCGAGGUCGAAUUUGAGUGGGAAAUGUGCUAUGGAGGACCCAAACUGCAGAUGAAGUAGAGAACUCGUUGCUUUUGAUGCAGACCACAACAAAUCUUGAUGGAUCCGAGAGAGUGGCGGCAGACCGAAGCGGAGGCAAUCCUUAGGAAUUAGUAUCAGGAUGACCAUAGUACCUUGGAAACUUCUAGGGCAUUUUACCGCGUGUUGUCACAGAUCCGGAUAGCUCAUAUUCGCCUUAUACCGUGGAUCAAGGCUGGAUAAGCCAUCGUCCAGGUUUAAUUCUGUCUCAGUAGGUGCUAAAACAUCGCACAGACUCUCCGAGCUGAUGGUGUCCUAUUUGCUAAGAUCUCGCAGACGGAAUAGCGGCGGCAGGGAGCGAGGAGAAAGUUAGUCACGAUUUCGGAUGUCGGGGACGGUGGCCGGAUAGCACGAAUGAUUCGUUGAAUUUCGUCCGCGGGAAUAUCCGAGAUAUACCGGGCGAUCUCUCGCGGGUAUACGUCCCCGAGAAUGCGUUCCAUAAACUCGAAUGAGUUUCGCGAUACUUUGAAGAGGUAUAGGAAGUUUUAUGAUACUCCGACGGCUCCGGAUGCCUUUGCAUUCGUUGAACGUGAAUCCCUGUAUAUCACCUAAGUCGCGAGGCGGCGCGUUACAUGUAAGGAGGUAGAUAAAAGGAAAUACGGGAAACGCGGGAGGAGAGGGGGCCCGAGAGAAGGAUGCGUAAAACGUGUCAUAAAUUUCGGCGGCGGUGUGCGCCGGCUACGCUAUGAAAACCGCUGACACGGCUCGAUCCGCGUAUUUACGUUUAACGCGUCAGCGAGCAACACUUGUUGGCGAGUGUAUGAUGCCUCCCUUUUGCCAGCGGGGGCUCGUAAUCGGAACGGGGACCUACCCCUUUCGGUCUAAACUGGUCCGCGAUCGAUGAUAGAAAACGGGGAACCGGUUGGUCUUCGCUCAAAGUUUCGCUGAAUGUUGCGGCGACCAAAGUACAAUUUGCAGUCUUGCCGACAAUUCGUAGACGCAUCUGCGGAAUGGUAAAAUCCUUAGAACGUGGACUCGGAUAUCUAGAUACGUCUGUGGAAAGCGAUUCUCUUGCGUACAAAAAUGUAUUUCACGCGUCUGUCGCUUCGGAUGCGAUAGUUGAGAGGUUCGAUAAGUUGGAAUAAAUUUGUCAGUGAAUGUGCAACGAUAAUAACGUCGUAUAUUCAACAAUUUAAGCGAUUGUGAGUAAUUGUGGAUGAUCAUAUGAUGCUCACUGUUCAGAAGGUAUUAGAAUAAUAAUUUGUUUAAUGUGAAUAAUUAGACGUAAUUGAUUAUAUUAAUAUAUAAUUAUAUUAACUUAAUGUAUAAUUGCAUUAAUUUAAUAUAUAAUUAUAUUGAUAUAUAAUUCAUUAUCCGUGAAUAAUGUGAAUAAUGAGAAAGAGGAAAUAGCAGUUUCGCUACAGUAAACUGGCGAGAUAUUAAAGGGCA